rnacentral:rRNA from 2 species
AACGCUAGCUACAGGCUUAACACAUGCAAGUCGAGGGGAAACGACAUCGAAAGCUUGCUUUUGAUGGGCGUCGACCGGCGCACGGGUGAGUAACGCGUAUCCAACCUGCCCACCACUUGGGGAUAACCUUGCGAAAGUAAGACUAAUACCCAAUGAUAUCUCUAGAAGACAUCUGAAAGAGAUUAAAGAUUUAUCGGUGAUGGAUGGGGAUGCGUCUGAUUAGCUUGUUGGCGGGGUAACGGCCCACCAAGGCAACGAUCAGUAGGGGUUCUGAGAGGAAGGUCCCCCACAUUGGAACUGAGACACGGUCCAAACUCCUACGGGAGGCAGCAGUGAGGAAUAUUGGUCAAUGGACGAGAGUCUGAACCAGCCAAGUAGCGUGCAGGAAGACGGCCCUAUGGGUUGUAAACUGCUUUUAUAAGGGAAUAAAGUGAGUCUCGUGAGACUUUUUGCAUGUACCUUAUGAAUAAGGACCGGCUAAUUCCGUGCCAGCAGCCGCGGUAAUACGGAAGGUCCGGGCGUUAUCCGGAUUUAUUGGGUUUAAAGGGAGCGUAGGCCGGAGAUUAAGCGUGUUGUGAAAUGUAGAUGCUCAACAUCUGCACUGCAGCGCGAACUGGUUUCCUUGAGUACGCACAAAGUGGGCGGAAUUCGUGGUGUAGCGGUGAAAUGCUUAGAUAUCACGAAGAACUCCGAUUG